UUAAUAUUCUCCUACACAGUGUUAUAUUUACGUGUUAAUAAGACAUUGUAGUUCUACAGUGCCACCUUGUGGUCUGUUCUGCUUUUAUUUUGAAAGGCGUGUCUUCUUCUUCUAAUGUUUUACGGUGCUAAACUUCCGGUUACACGCUUCGCAAUGUGGUGCUGAUGCAUCGUCGGAAGAACGAGCCUUGAACUUUGAGGGUGUGUGUGUGUCGAGCUAGAGAGCAUGCUAGCUGAUGGCAGAACUCUUUAAUUAGUGCCCUUGGAGAGCGGAAUGAGUUUUCACGGUGUUCAUGGUGCUUAUGGUGCAUGGUGUUCGUUGAGAGGAAAUAAACCGACACCCGUUUGAAACUCUCUGCGUCUUUUGAUUAAUAAAUCCAAGGGGCCGCUACAAUGAAAA